rnacentral:rRNA from 1 species
GACGAACGCUGGCGGCGUGCUUAACACAUGCAAGUCGAACGGAAAGGCCCUGCUUUUGUGGGUUUCUCGAUUGGCGAACGGGUGAGUAACACGUGAGUAACCUGCCCUUGACUUUGUGAUAACUUCAGGAAACUGGGGCUAAUACCGGAUAUGAUCUCCUGCUGCAUGUUGGGGGUUGGAAAGUUUCGGCGUUUGGGGAUGGACUCGCGGCUUAUCAGCUUGUUGGUGGGGUAGUGGCUUACCAAGGCUUUGACGGGUAGCCGGCCUGAGAGGGUGACCGGCCACAUUGGGACUGCGAUACGGACCAGACUCCUACGGGAGGCAGCAGUGGGGAAUAUUGCACAAUGGGCGGACGCCUGAUGCAGCAACGCCGCGUGCGGGAUGCCGGCCUUCGGGUUGUAAACCGCUUUCGACUGUGACGAAGCGUGAGUGACGGUACUGGGUAAAGAAGCACCGGCUAACUACGUG